rnacentral:rRNA from 1 species
UAAUUGAAGAGUUUGAUCAUGGCUCAGAUUGAACGCUGGCGGCAGGCCUAACACAUGCAAGUCGAGCGGUAACAUUUCAAAAGCUUGCUUUUGAAGAUGACGAGCGGCGGACGGGUGAGUAAUGC